rnacentral:rRNA from 1 species
GACAGAGGUUGCAAACGUUGUUCGGAAUUACUGGGCAUAAAGCGCACGUAGGCGGUCCACUAAGUCAGGUGUGAAAUCCCCCGGCUCAACCGGGGAAUUGCGCCUGAUACUGGCGGGCUCGAGAUCGGUAGGGGUGAGCGGAACUCCAGGUGGAGCGGUGAAAUGCGUAGAUAUCUGGAGGAGCACCGGUGGCGAAAGCGGCUCACUGGAUCGACACUGACGCUGAGGUGCGAAAGCUAGGGUAGCAAACGGG